AUUGUAGCUCUUUGACCCAUAACCCCCUAGCCCUGGCUAGACAGGCUUUGAGCCCUUGCAAUUUGAUCCUAUUGGUUAUCUUAGUCUCGUCGUUGCUCUGGGGAUGAGCUACCGAAGUCAAUCUAUAGGAGAUCCCAAAUUCAUUACAAAAUCCUAUGAACUUUGAAUUGUCAAACUGGCACCCAAUAUCUAUUAUAAUAGUUCGAGGC
rnacentral:lncRNA from 1 species